rnacentral:rRNA from 1 species
AACGAGGGAUUACACGGCGAUGCGAUUUCGGUCAAAUCAAGUGCAAUCUUAGUGGCGGACGGGUGAGUAACGCGUGGGUAACCUGCCUUGCACUGGGGGAUAACACUUAGAAAUAGGUGCUAAUACCGCAUAAGCGCACGGUCCUGCAUGGGACAGUGUGAGAAACUCCGGUGGUGCAAGAUGGACCCGCGUCUGAUUAGCUGGUUGGCGGGGUAAAGGCCCACCAAGGCGACGAUCAGUAGCCGGCCUGAGAGGGUGGACGGCCACAUUGGGACUGAGACACGGCCCAAACUCCUACGGGAGGCAGCAGUGGGGGAUAUUGGACAAUGGGGGGAACCCUGAUCCAGCGACGCCGCGUGAGUGAAGAAGUAUUUCGGUAUGUAAAGCUCUGUCAGCAGGGAAGAAAGCAAUGACGGUACCUGACCAAGAAGCCCCGGCUAACUACGUGCCAGCAGCCGCGGUAAUACGUAGGGGGCAAGCGUUAUCCGGAAUUACUGGGUGUAAAGGGAGCGUAGACGGCUGUGCAAGUCUGGAGUGAAAGGCGGGGGCCCAACCCCCGGACUGCUCUGGAAACUGUAUGGCUGGAGUUGCAGGAAAGGUCCGCGGAAAUUCCUAGUGUACCGGUGAAAUGCGUCGCUUUUUGGAGGAACACCCCGUGGGAAAGGCGGCUUACUGGACUGUAACUGACGUUGAGGCUCGAAAGCGUGGGGAGCAAACAGGAUUAGAUACCCUGGUAGUCCACGCCGUAAACGAUGAUUACUAGGUGUCGGAGGGUAUGGACCCUCCGGUGCCGCAGCAAACGCAGUAAGUAAUCCACCUGGGGAGUACGUUCGCAAGAAUGAAACUCAAAGGAAUUGACGGGGACCCGCACAAGCGGUGGAGCAUGUGGUUUAAUCCGAAGCAACGCGAAGAACCUUACCAAGUCUUGACAUCUGGAUGACAGGGACGUAACGGUCCCCUUACUUCGGUACAUCCAAGACAGGUGGUGCAUGGUUGUCGUCAGCUCGUGUCGUGAGAUGUUGGGUUAAGUCCCGCAACGAGCGCAACCCUUAUCCUUAGUAGCCAGCGGGCAGGGCCGGGCACUCUAGGGAGACUGCCGGGGAUAACCCGGAGGAAGGUGGGGAUGACGUCAAAUCAUCAUGCCCCUUAUGAUUUGGGCUACACACGUGCUACAAUGGCGUAAACAGAGGGAAGCGAACCCGCGAGGGGGAGCAAAUCCCAAAAAUAACGUCCCAGUUCGGAUUGUAGCCUGCAACCCGGCUACAUGAAGCUGGAAUCGCUAGUAAUC